AUUGAACGCUGGCGGCAUGCCUUACACAUGCAAGUCGAACGGCAGCAUGGAGAGCUUGCUCUCUGAUGGCGAGUGGCGAACGGGUGAGUAAUGCAUCGGAACGUACCGUGUAAUGGGGGAUAACGUAGCGAAAGUUACGCUAAUACCGCAUACGACCUGAGGGUGAAAGCAGGGGAUCGCAAGACCUUGCGUUAUACGAGCGGCCGAUGUCAGAUUAGCCAGUUGGUGAGGUAAAGGCUCACCAAGGCGACGAUCUGUAGCGGGUCUGAGAGGAGGAUCCGCCACACUGGGACUAAGACACGGCCCAGACUCCUACGGGAGGCAGCAGUGGGGAAUUUUGGACAAUGGGGGCAACCCUGAUCCAGCCAUGCCGCGUGAGUGAAGAAGGCCUUCGGGUUGUAAAGCUCUUUCGGCCGGGAAGAAAUCGCACAGGCUAAUACUCUGUGUGGAUGACGGUACCGGCAUAAGAAGCACCGGCUAACUACGUGCCAGCCGCCGCAGUAA
rnacentral:rRNA from 1 species